UUUUUUUCGGCUUUUAGUAAAUAUUUAGCACGUUUUUGCUUUCAUUUUCACUUCAUCUCAUCAGAGCAAUUUUCUUGAUUAGUGAUAAAAUACAGGCAUAAUGGAUAAAAAGUAUCCUGAGGAACACCCAAGGAAUCUAAUUCCAUCUCUUCUGCGACAGUUUUAUGAUCUUGGCUGGGUUACGGGCACUGGUGGAGGCAUUAGCAUCAAAGAUGGGAAGGACAUCUACAUUGCCCCAUCAGGUGUUCAAAAGGAGAGAACUCAACCCGAUGACAUGUUUGUUCAGACAAUUGAUGAUGAGGACAUUAGUACCCCUCCCCCUGCCAAGAAGUUGAAGAAGAGUCAGUGUACCCCACUGUUCAUGUGUGCCUACAGAAUGAAGGGUAAAAUAUAUACAGGGCUCAUGGUUUUCGUUUGUACAUAUUAUAUAUAAUGUAUAGAUUUAGAAUCUUCCAAAUCGAGAGAUUUUUAUGAUAUAACGCAAUUAACAACUACUCUUCUGCUUAUAAAAAAUGCAGAUUCAAAUACUUUUAUGGAUGAUGUGUCAGGUCUCAAAAGCCCUAAAUAACAGGGCUAUUGACAAUACAUAAUACAUGUGUAGUAUCAUUAAAACCAAAAUUUAUGAUUCGCAAAGAUCGUAGAUUAUCAGUUAAAAUAAAAAAAAAAUAUUGUUUGAUUUGUUCCAUCAAUUUAGUUUUUGCUCAGUUUAUUAAAGUCAUAUUACAAAGUUUAGCAUGAUCAUCAUGAGUAGAGCAUAACUGCAUGUGUAAAGAAGAUUUUUUCUAUGGUUCUAUAUAUACUAUAGAUAUUUUUAAAAAAGAUAAAAAAAAAAAAGGUGAAUGAUUAAAUUCUCAUGUGUGAAUACUGAAUUUGACAAUAGAAUAUGUACUUUAAUAAAGUUUUAAAGGUUAAAGACAAGCAUUUAUACCCAUGUACCAAACCCAUGUACAGUGUAUUACAACACUUUAUAAGAAUGCAUAAAGUAUGUAAAUUUGUUUUGUUGAAUUAAUAAUUUAUUACUAAUUGCAUGAUUUCAUGAUUGAUAAGCAAAAUGAUAUCUUUUAUGCAGAUGCGGGAGCUGUAAUCCACACACACUCCAAGGCCGCUGUCAUGGCAACGCUUCUGUACCCCGGUACUGAAUUUAAAAUCACACACCAAGAAAUGAUUAAGGGCAUCAAAAAGUGUAAAUCUGGUCAGUAUUACAGAUAUGAUGAAGAGUUGGUGGUUCCGAUCAUAGAAAAUACCCCCUUUGAAGAAGAUUUGAAGGAAAGAAUGUCUUGUGCCAUGACAGAUUACCCAGAAUCCUGUGCUGUCCUUGUCCGUCGCCAUGGUGUUUAUGUUUGGGGAGAAUCUUGGCAAAAAGCCAAAACCAUGUGUGAAUGCUACGACUACCUCUUUGACAUUGCUACACAGAUGAAGUCUGUCGGGCUGGACCCCUCAGAAGUCCCUGUCCCACUUAAAGGGGCCUACCUGCAAUAAGGACUGCGUUUUAUGCUGUAGUUAAACUGUGCUUUGUUUUGUAAAUAAAAUUAUGUAAACACUUGUU
rnacentral:misc_RNA from 1 species